GACAGAGGGUGCAAACGUUGUUCGGAAUUACUGGGCGUAAAGCGCGUGUAGGCGGCUAAGUAAGUCGGGCGUGAAAUCCCACGGCUCAACCGUGGAAGUGCACUCGAAACUGCAUAGCUAGAGUCCUGGAGAGGAAGGUGGAAUGCUUGGUGUAGAGGUGAAAUUCGUAGAUAUCAAGCGGAACACCGGUGGCGAAGGCGGCAUCCUGGACCGACACUGACACUGAGGAGCGAAAGCCAGGGGAGCAAACGGG
rnacentral:rRNA from 1 species